UACGGGGGGGGCAAGCGUUGUUCGGAAUUACUGGGCGUAAAGGGCGCGUAGGCGGCCUGUUAAGUCGAACGUGAAAUCCCCGGGCUCAACCCGGGAACUGCGUCCGAUACUGGCAGGCUUGAAUCCGGGAGAGGGAUGCGGAAUUCCAGGUGUAGCGGUGAAACGCGUAGAUAUCUGGAGGAACACCGGUGGCGAAGGCGGCAUCCUGGACCGGCAUUGACGCUGAGGCGCGAAAGCCAGGGGAGCAAACGGGG
rnacentral:rRNA from 1 species